GCAGAUUGAAUUUACAUUUUACUUAAAAAAAAAAAAAAAGGCGGGACGGGGGAAGGCAGGGGAGUACAUACACCAGGGAGAAAACGGGUGGGGACAACAAUGAUCCGAAACGGAGUUCUAUGGUUUCCCCUACAAUGAUCAGUUUUGUCUGCUGGCAGUACUUCUCCUGCUGGCGCACAACUGCUUACAAUAUUAACAAGGUUAUAAACAAGGAAACUGCCAAAGUUUAGGAUGGAAAGGCGAGUAAGUCAUCAUAUACAAUGUAAGUUUACAAUACACAGCAUUUUCUUUAAAUGAUGUAACGCAGUCGCAGGAAGAAGUUAAUAAUACUAACACAAGAAUAAUCAAAUUUUUGUUAUCCAUGUACAGCAACUAACUGCUUUACAAAAAAGCAAAAUAAUACAAUAUAUCAUCACAUGUAUUUACAGUGUAGUAAAUAUACUUUUCUGUCAAAUUUUACACAAACUAUUUACAGGUGAAUAUACUGCAUUAAAAAAAAAU